rnacentral:rRNA from 1 species
UACGAAGGGGGCUAGCGUUGCUCGGAAUCACUGGGCGUAAAGGGCGCGUAGGCGGGUCUUUAAGUCAGGGGUGAAAUCCUGGAGCUCAACUCCAGAACUGCCUUUGAUACUGAGGAUCUUGAGUACGGGAGAGGGGAGUGGAACUGCGAGUGUAGAGGUGAAAUUCGUAGAUAUUCGCAAGAACACCAGUGGCGAAGGCGGCUCACUGGCCCGUAACUGACGCUGAGGCACGAAAGCGUGGGGAGCAAACAGG